rnacentral:rRNA from 1 species
UACGAAGGGGGCUAGCGUUGUUCGGAAUUACUGGGCGUAAAGCGCACGUAGGCGGACUGUUAAGUCGGGGGUGAAAGCCCAGGGCUCAACCCUGGAACGGCCUUCGAUACUGGCAGUCUUGAGAAUGGGAGAGGUGAGUGGAAUUCCUAGUGUAGAGGUGAAAUUCGUAGAUAUUAGGAAGAACACCAGUGGCGAAGGCGGCUCACUGGCCCAUUUCUGACGCUGAGGUGCGAAAGCGUGGGGAGCAAACAGG